rnacentral:lncRNA from 1 species
CGUUAUUUGCUAAGCAUGGGCACUUACGACUUGAGGCUUAUACAGAUGCAGAUUGGUUUGGUUGUAUUAUUGACAGCAGAUUUACAUCAGGUUAUUGUCCACUGGUUGGAGGUCACCUUGUGACUUAGAGUAAAACACAGUCAGUUGUAGCCUGUUCAAGUGCAGAACUAGAGUAUCGACCAUGGCUCAUAGGGCAUUUGAGUUGCAGUGGUUAAAAAUCCUAUUCAGAGAACUCAGGUUAUUGUCCACUGGUUGGAGGUCACCUUGUGACUUAGAGUAAAACACAGUCAGUUGUAGCCUGUUCAAGUGCAGAACUAGAGUAUCGACCAUGGCUCAUAGGGCAUUCGAGUU